rnacentral:lncRNA from 13 species
CAGCACACAAAUUUUACUGUUGUCCCUGGAAACUGCAGAGCUAAUUCCCUGCGCAGUUCACCUAAAAUGUAUCUCCCAGUGUCCAGUUUGGUUUUAUCUGAUGAAGCGAAGCAGAGAAAAUAGAAUGCUGCUAUAUGGAGAAUGGAAGUUGGAGAACAAGCAUGAACGCAGAGAGAGAAAGAAAGAAAGGUUUUCCUUUUUUUCUAGAGAAAGAAAGACAGAAAGAAAGAAAGAAGAAAGAAAGAGAAAGAAGAAAGAAAGAAAGAAAAUAAAGAAAGAAAGAAAGAAAGAAAGAAAGAAAAAGAAGGAAAGAAAGAAAGAGAAGGAAAGAAAGAAAGAAAGAAGAAGGAAAGAAAGAAAAAGGAAUGAACAAGAGGAAAAAAGACGAAGAGGAGGAGGGAGAGAGAACGGGAGUGUUGCUUAA